rnacentral:rRNA from 1 species
AACGAACGCUGGCGGCAUGCCUAACACAUGCAAGUCGAACGAGACCUUCGGGUCUAGUGGCGCACGGGUGCGUAACGCGUGGGAACCUGCCCUUAGGUUCGGAAUAACUCCCCGAAAGGGGUGCUAAUACCGGAUAAUGUCUUCGGACCAAAGAUUUAUCGCCUUUGGAUGGUCCCGCGUUGGAUUAGCUAGUUGGUAGGGUAAAAGCCUACCAAGGCGACGAUCCAUAGCUGGUCUGAGAGGAUGAUCAGCCACACUGGGACUGAGACACGGCCCAGACUCCUACGGGAGGCAGCAGUGGGGAAUAUUGGACAAUGGGCGAAAGCAUGAUCCAGCAAUGCCGCGUGAGUGAUGAAGGCCUUAGGGUUGUAAAGCUCUUUUACCCGGGAUGAUAAUGACAGUACCGGGAGAAUAAGCUCCGGCUAACUCCGUG